rnacentral:rRNA from 1 species
GACGUAGGGCGCGAGCGUUGUCCGGAUUUAUUGGGCGUAAAGAGCUCGUAGGCGGCUUGUCGCGUCGUCCGUGAAAACCUGCGGCUCAACUGCAGGCUGGCGGUCGAUACGGGCAGGCUGGAGUUCGGUAGGGGAGACUGGAAUUCCUGGUGUAGCGGUGAAAUGCGCAGAUAUCAGGAGGAACACCGGUGGCGAAGGCGGGUCUCUGGGCCGUAACUGACGCUGGAGGAG